rnacentral:rRNA from 1 species
CCUACGCGAGGCAGCAGUGGGGAAUAUUGGACAAUGGGGGGAACCCUGAUCCAGCGACGCCGCGUGAGUGAAUAAGUAUUUCGGUAUGUAAAGCUCUAUCAGCAGGGAAGAAAGCAAUGACGGUACCUGACUAAGAAGCCCCGCGUAACUACGUGCCAGCAGCCGCUGUAAUACGUAGGGGGCAAGCGUUACCCGGAUUUACUGGGUGUAAAGCGAGCGUAGACGGCGAUGCAAGUAUGAAGUGAAAGGCGGGGGCCCAACCUCCGGACUGCUUUGGAAACUGUAUGGCUGGAGUGCAGGAGAGGUAAGUGGAAUUCCUAGUGUAGCGGUGAAAUGCGUAGAUAUUAGGAGGAACACCAGUGGCGAAGGCGGCUUACUGGACUGUAACUGACGUUGAGGCUCGAAAGCGUGGGGAGCAAACAGGAUUAGAUACCCGAGUAGUC